CUAAUAAAAUAUAAUACGUACAUAUUUAUUAUUUUUUUAGAAAAUUGAAUAUGUUAUCAAUAUAAUAGCAUUACGUUUAUAGGUUAUGUUAUGAAUAAUAAUAAUGUAAGUGCAACGUACAUUUGCAUUUUGCAACAGAAACAGCUUCUUAUGGAGUAUUGUUUUACAGGCUAGUGGCUACUAUUUUUUCAUGUAAUGUAUUAAAAUGUAAUUAUAAUUAGGAUUGGGAUAAUACAAAAAUAUACUUUUUGGUUAGUGAUAUCUAUUACAUUGUGACAGAAUUUGGUUUCUCAAUAACUGUCAUCGUGAGUGCCAAACUGAUCAAUUGCAUCCUAAUGGAACGUUCAAGAUGUGAUUCAGUAACUGAUACGGUAGUUGCAAUCAUCAUUUUUGACCAAAUGAUAUCAAAGAUUAUUAGGUUGAAUGUUGAUGCCAUUGAAAUAAGCUACAAUAUUGACCAACAAUGCAGACAUGAAGAUACUGCGAUUGUAUCAGCUUGUGUUCAACAAGAAAAUUGUGGAACUUAUUGUGUUAAAUUCAUAUUCAAAAUGAAUAUUAACAGACUAUGGUUUGAAAUAGAAUUGACAGUACGAAAAAGUGAUUUUACAUGUGUUGAAACAAUUGUAAAGUCAAACAGUGCGUCAUUUUACUUCUCAUCAUUUCUUUUGAAAGGUACAUAAUUAUUAAUAGUGAAAUACUACUAUGGUUCUUGUUCUCCUCACCAUCAUCAACAUCAUCAACCUUAUAUUGUGACUUGUAUGCCACCACUAACACUCUAUAGUGUGUGUAUUCAUGUUUUAUAUAUAAAUCUUUCACUUAUUAUUGUAAUUAUUAUAUGUUACUAUCAACACUGACACUCUUUGUUUUGUUAUUCAGAAGAAAAUCAUAGUGUUUUUAAGGUUGUGUAUGUGUUUGUCAAAUCAAAUUUGUGACUUGUAUGCCACUAACACACUCUAUAGUGUUCAUGUCUAUAAUAUAAAUCUUUCACUUAUUAUUGUUAAUAUUAUUAUAUGUUACUAAUACUCUUGUUUGUUAUACAAUACUGUCACUCUUGUUUGUUAUUCAGAAGAAAAUCAAAAGUUUUGUGUGUUCAUUCCAUGAUGUGUUAAUAAAAAAAGCAUAACUAACUCACACUGUCUUUCUCUCUCUUUCUUCUCUAUUCCUAACUCCAACUACACUAAACACACAACUGAAAACUGUGUCAGUUGUUGUUCUAGA